CCUACGGGGGGCUGCAGUGGGGAAUUUUGGACAAUGGGGGCAACCCUGAUCCAGCCAUUCCGCGUGAGUGAAGAAGGCCUUCGGGUUGUAAAGCUCUUUUGUCCGGAGCGAAACGGGCGGCCCUAAUACGGUCGUCUACUGACGGUACCGGAAGAAUAAGCACCGGCUAACUACGUGCCAGCAGCCGCGGUAAUACGUAGGGUGCGAGCGGUCAUAGGACUUGAUGGGCGUAUUUUGUGAGCAGGAGGUUAAAUCCCCGGGCUCAACCUGGGAAUGGCAUUUGGGACUGCAAGGCUGGAGUGUGGCAGAGGGGACUAGAAUUCCUGGUGUAGCAGUGAAAUGCGUAGAUAUCAGGAGGAAUACCGAUGGCGAAGGCAGGUCCCUGGGUUAACACUGACGCUCAUGCACGAAAGCGUGGGGAGCAAACAGGAUUAGAUACCCGAGUAGUC
rnacentral:rRNA from 1 species